rnacentral:rRNA from 1 species
UCGUCAUCGUAGGGUUAGUCGGGACCUAAGUCGAGUCCGAAAGGGGUAGACGAUGGCAAAUCGGUUAAUAUUCCGAUACCGACGAUUGUUCGUUUGAAUGAUGGAGGGACGCAUAGGGCUAAACGAGCUCACUGAUGGAAUAGUGGGUCGAAGGACGUAGGUUGUGAGGUAGGAAAAUCCGCUUCACGUUAGACCGAGAUCUGACAGGCAGAGCAAUUGCUUCGGCAAGCGCUCUGAAUCGUUGAUGCCGUCGUGCCGAGAAAAGCUUCUAAAUGAGAACAAUCGUUGCCCGUACCGUAAACCGACACAGGUGGGUGAGAUGAGUAUUCUAAGGCGCGUGGAAGAAUUACUGUUAAGGAACUCUGCAAACUAACACCGUAUCUUCGGUAUAAGGUGUGCCCCAUAGGUAUUAGGAACUUGCUUCCGAAAGCUAUAUGGGGUCGCAGCAAAGAGUCCCUCCCGACUGUUUAC